rnacentral:SRP_RNA from 1 species
GCCGGGCGUGGUGGCACGUGCCUAGUCCCAGCUACAGGAGGCUGAAGUGGGAGGAUCGCUAGAGCCCAGGAGUUCUGGUCUAUAGUGCCCUACGCCAAUCGGAUGUCCGAACUAAGUUCAGCAUCAGUAUGGUGACCUCCUGGAAGCAGGGUACCACCAGGUUGCCUAAGGAGGGGUGAACCGGCCCAGGUCGGAAACGGAGCAGGUCACAUCUCCGGUGCUGAUCAGUAGUGGGAUCGGGCCUGUGAAUAGCCACUGCACUCCAGCCUGGGCAACAUAGCGAGCGAGACCCCAUCUCU